UUAAAGGUGGCAGAUAAAUGCGUAGAUUUUAAGCGUCUAUAAUGAGGUUCUCCCUUU
rnacentral:tRNA from 1 species